rnacentral:rRNA from 1 species
CACGUAGUUAGCCGGUGCUUAUUCUUCAGGUACCGUCAUUAGAUGCAGAUAUUAGCCGCACCCGUUUCUUCCCUGACAAAAGAGCUUUACAACCCGAAGGCCUUCUUCACUCGCGGCAUUGCUGGAUCAGGCUUGCGCCCAUUGUCCAAAAUUCCCCACUGCUGCCUCCCGUAGGAGUCUGGACCGUGUCUCAGUUCCAGUGUGGCUGGUCGUCCUCUCAGACCAGCUACUGAUCGAUGCCUUGGUAGGCCUUUACCCUACCAACUAGCUAAUCAGAUAUCGGCCGCUCCAGGAGCACAAGGCCUUGCGGUCCCCUGCUUUCAUCCUUAGAUCGUAUGCGGUAUUAGCGUAACUUUCGCUACGUUACUCCCCCACUCUUGGGUACGUUCCGAUAUAUUACUCACCCGUUCGCCACUCGUCAGCGGAGCAAGCUCCCUGUUACCGUUCGACUUGCAUGUAGUAAAGCAUGCCCGCCAGCGUUCAAUCUGACGCAGGAUAA